GAUGAACGCUAGCUACAGGCUUAACACAUGCAAGUCGAGGGGAAACGAUAGAGAAAGCUUGCUUUUUCUAGGCGUCGACCGGCGCACGGGUGAGUAACGCGUAUCCAACCUGCCCAUCACUUGGGGAUAACCUUGCGAAAGUAAGACUAAUACCCAAUGACGUCUCUAGAAGACAUCUGGAAGAGAUUAAAGAUUUAUCGGUGAUGGAUGGGGAUGCGUCUGAUUAGCUUGUUGGCGGGGUAACGGCCCACCAAGGCGACGAUCAGUAGGGGUUCUGAGAGGAAGGUCCCCCACAUUGGAACUGAGAGACGGUCCAAACGCCUACGGGAGGAAGCAGUGAGGAAUAUUGGUCAAUGGACGAGAGUCUGAACCAGCCAAGUAGCGUGCAGGAUGACGGCCCUAUGGGUUGUAAACUGCUUUUAUAAGGGAAUAAAGUGAGUCUCGUGAGACUUUUUGCAUGUACCUUAUGAAUGAGGACCGGCUAAUUCCGUGCCAGCCGCCGCCGUAA
rnacentral:rRNA from 1 species